rnacentral:lncRNA from 1 species
CGCCGGCUGGCCAUGAAAGGCCCAGGGAGAGGCUGCGUCGCCUCAGGGCUUGGGCUGUUUCCCAAACUUACAGAUCCUAAGAAUCACCUGGAGUGGGGGAGGUGGAGGAGCAAAUGCUGGUUUAAAAUCCGGAUUCCCAGACCCCUCCCUGCCCAGUCACGGUUUGGAGCCGCCGGGAGCUGGGUUUUUAACGAGCCCCAGGUGAUCCUCUUGAGGAACCCAGGGUGGGCGGCUCUAAGGCGCCGGGAGCGAGGUGGCUGGAGCUCAGUCAGACUCACACCUGCGGCUGUGCACUCUGGACGGGUCACGUGGCCUUUCUGAGCCUCGGCAACCUAGCCUGUCAUUGAGCGGGGAGCAGCAGAAGGCUAAGACCCCCACCUCCAGGGCCCUGGGAGUGAGUCCAGGAACAGGAGCGACUGAGAGCCCUGCUGCCUUUGGCGCCUGCAUGGUCUCGGAUGGUCAGGGCCCCUGUCCUCGUCUGCAGGAUGAGCGCCGCUCUUGCUCGUCGUGGGACCUGAGCAGGUUUCUUAUAUUUUUAGCGCCUUGGUUUACUGCUCUGCAGAAUGGCCACCACGAUAGCGCCUCCUUCACAGUGACAUGGAGAGGCCCCAGCGGACAGUGCUGUACAGGAAGGUCUCGAGCAGGGCUUGGAGUAGAGAAUGUGCUGGUGUCCCCAUGACACCAUCCUCCUCCUCUUCAUCAUCAGAAGGCAGAUCAGCAUCCCCGGAGCAGAGGAUUUGAAAGCCCAGCCUUUCGGAUCCUAUCACCAUGGCUUCCGCUCCAGCCCAGAGAUGUCAAGGCUGGAAUUCCUGGGCUAGGUUCGAAAAUGCCCAGGGCAUUCCAGAAGGAAACUCUAGGUGGUGGAUAUAUGCAUGUACAUUUUAGAGACAAGGUCUCACUCUGUAGUCCAGGCUGGAGGGCACUGGCGCGAUCAUAGUUCACUGUAGGCUUGAACUCCUGGGUUCAAGCAAUACUCCCUCCUGAGUAGCUGGGACUACAGGUGCACAGAACCACACCCAGCUAAUUUUCUAAUUUUUAUUUUUAUGUAGAGAUGGGGUCUUUGCUCUGUUGCCCAGGCCUAUAAAUUAGAUUUGUGGUGUGUAAAAUUAGGUAAAUUAGGCUCCACCAGUGUUGGUUAUGGUAAAUGAUGUGCCUGAAACAUGGCAAAUACUCCAAAAAAUUUUUGAAUAUGUCUCCCAUAAACAGCAGAUCAUUCAAAUUUAUAUUUAACAGAACUUUCAUAUGAACGAUUUGCUUUAUAAUAGGGAAAUGUAGGCCGGGCGCAGUGGCUCAUGCCUGUAAUCCCAGCAC